rnacentral:rRNA from 1 species
UGGAGAGUUUGAUCCUGGCUCAGAUUGAACGCUGGCGGCAGGCCUAACACAUGCAAGUCGAGCGGAUGAARGGAGCUUGCUCCUGRAUUCAGCGGCGGACGGGUGAGUAAUGCCUAGGAAUCUGCCUGGUAGUGGGGGACAACGUUUCGAAAGGAACGCUAAUACCGCAUACGUCCUACGGGAGAAAGCAGGGGACCUUCGGGCCUUGCGCUAUCAGAUGAGCCUAGGUCGGAUUAGCUAGUUGGUGAGGUAAUGGCUCACCAAGGCGACGAUCCGUAACUGGUCUGAGAGGAUGAUCAGUCACACUGGAACUGAGACACGGUCCAGACUCCUACGGGAGGCAGCAGUGGGGAAUAUUGGACAAUGGGCGAAAGCCUGAUCCAGCCAUGCCGCGUGUGUGAAGAAGGUCUUCGGAUUGUAAAGCACUUUAAGUUGGGAGGAAGGGCAGUAAAUUAAUACUUUGCUGUUUUGACGUUACCGACAGAAUAAGCACCGGCUAACUCUGUGCCAGCAGCCGCGGUA